rnacentral:tRNA from 1 species
GGGCCUCUAGCUCAACUGGUAGAGCUGCGGACUUUUAAUCCGUAGGUUCUGGGUUCGAAUCCCAGGGGGCCCA